rnacentral:rRNA from 1 species
AUUGAACGCUGGCGGCAGGCCUAACACAUGCAAGUCGAGCGAGCGGCGGACGGGUGAGGAAUGUCUGGGAAACUGUCUGAUGGAGGGGGAUAACUACUGGAAAAGGUAGCUAAGACCGCAGACCAUCAGAUGUGCCCAGAGGGGAUUAGCUAGUAGGUGGGGUAACGGCUCACCUAGGUGCCGAUCCCUAGGUGGUCUGAGAGGAUGAUCAGCCACACUGGAACUGAGACACGGUCCAGACUCCUACGGGAGGCAGCAGUGGGGAAUCUUGCACAAUGGGCGCAAGCCUGAUGCAGCCAUGCCGCGUGUGUGAAGAAGGCCUUCGGGUUUUAAAGCACUUUCAGCGGGGAGGCGUUACCCGCAGAAGAAGCACCGGCUAACUCCGUGCCAGCCGCCGCGGUAAUAC